rnacentral:rRNA from 1 species
UACGAAGGGGGCUAGCGUUGCUCGGAAUUACUGGGCGUAAAGCGCACGUAGGCGGCUCUUUAAGUCGGAGGUGAAAUCCUGGAGCUCAACUCCAGAACUGCCUUCGAUACUGAAGAGCUCGAGUCCGGGAGAGGUGAGUGGAACUGCGAGUGUAGCGGUGAAAUGCGCAGAUAUCAGGAGGAACACCAAUGGCGAAGGCGGUUCUCUGGGCCUUACCUGACGCUGAGGAGCGAAAGCGUGGGGAGCGAACAGG